GGUAAUGAUGACUUCUGGUGAUUCUGAGUGUCUUCGCUGACGCCAUCACCGCAGCGCGCUGACC
ensembl:snoRNA Snord48 small nucleolar RNA, C/D box 48